rnacentral:rRNA from 1 species
UGGGGAAUUUUGCACAAUGGGGGAAACCCUGAUGCAGCGACGCCGCGUGAUUUAGAAGGCCUUCGGGUUGUAAAAAUCUUUUCUAUGGGAAGAAAAUGACAGUACCAUAGGAAUAAGGACCGGCUAAUUACGUGCCAGCAGCCGCGGUAAUACGUAAGGUCCGAGCGUUGUCCGGAAUCAUUGGGCGUAAAGGGUACGUAGGCGGGUAAGCAAGUUAGAAGUGAAAUCCUAUAGCUCAACUAUAGUAAGCUUUUAAAACUGCUCAUCUUGGGGUAUGGAAGGGAAAGUGGAAUUCCUAGUGUAGCGGUGAAAUACGCAAAUAUUAGGAGGAAUACCGGUUGCGAAGGCGACUUUCUGGCCAUAACCUGACACUGAGGUACGAAAGCGUGGGUAGCAAACAGG